rnacentral:tRNA from 2 species
GCGCUCGUAGCUCAGCUGGAUAGAGUACCUGGCUACGAACCAGGCGGUCAGAGGUUCGAAUCCUCUCGAGCGCGCC